rnacentral:snRNA from 1 species
UAGAGUUACAGCUCGUUUACUAUUUGUCUAGGAGGUUCUCUGUGAGAGGAAGCCACU